rnacentral:rRNA from 1 species
AAUACGAAAUGCUGCUGCAUUGAAGUGAUCUAUGCCAGGCUUCCAAGAAAAUCUCGUCAUAUCUUAAGCAGUAGAUGCCUGUACCUUAAACCGACACAGGUAGGUAGGUAGAGUAUACCAAGGGGCGCGAGAUAACUCUCUCUAAGGAACUCGGCAAAAUAACCUCGUAACUUCGGAAGAAGAGGUACCCUUGAAAAAGGGUUGCAAUAACCAGACCCUGGCGACUGUUUACCAAAAACACAGGUCUCCGCUAAUUCGUAAGAUCAAGUAUGGAGGCUGACGCCUGCCCAGUGCCGGAAGGUUAAAGAAGUUGGUCAAUCUUUGGACGAAGCUGGCGACUGAAGCCCCGGUGAACGGCUGCCGUAACUAUAACGGUCCUAAGGUAGCGAAGUUCCUUGUCGGGUAAGUUCCGACCGGCACGAAAGGCGUAACGAUCAGGGUGCUGUCUCGGAGAGAGACUCGGCGAAAUAGACAUGUCUGUGAAGAUGCGGACUACCUGCACCUGGACAGAAAGACCCUAUGAAGCUUUACUGUAUCUUGGAAUUGGGUUUGGGCCUUGCUUGCGCAGAAUAGGUGGGAGGCUGUGAAGAUAUUCUUGCGGGAAUGUUGGAGCCAACGGUGAGAUACCACUCUAGUAAGGCUAAAAUUCUAACUCUGAACCGUUAUCCGGUCAGAGAACAGUUUCAGGUGGGCAGUUUGACUGGGGCGGUCGCCUCCUAAAAGCUAACGGAGGCGCGCAAAGGUUCCCUCAGGCUGGUUGGACAUCAGUCGUAGAGUGUAAAGGCAUAAGGGAGCUUGACUGCGAGACCCACAAGUCGAGCAGAGACGAAAGUCGGCCUUAGUGAUCCGACGGUUCCACGUGGAAGGGCCGUCGCUCAACGGAUAAAAGUUACUCUAGGAUAACAGGCUGAUCUCCCCCAAGAGUUCACAUCGACGGGGAGGUUUGGCACCUCGAUGUCGGCUCAUCGCAUCCUGGGACGGUAGUACGUCCCAAGGGUUGGGCUGUUCGCCCAUGAAAGCGGUACGCGAGCUGGGUUCAGAACGUCGUGAGACAGUUCGGUCCAUAUCCGGUGCAGGCGUUAGAGCAUUGAGAGGAGUCCCCCUUAGUACGAGAGGACCGGGGGGAAUACACCUGGUGUACCAGUUAUCGUGCCAACGGUAAACGCUGGGUAGCCAUGUGUAGCGCGGAUAACUGCUGAAAGCAUCUAAGUAGGAAGCCCACCUUAAGAUGAGUGCUCUCACCGCUAUAAGCGGGUAAGGUCACGGUAAGAACAACCGUUAUAUAGGCAUUAGGUAUACGUGCAGUAAUGCAUUUAGCUGAGAUGUACUAACAGACCGAGGGCUUGAUCAA